rnacentral:lncRNA from 1 species
CUCUUUUCAACACCAGAAGUGCCAUUUUCAGCCCCAAAAUGCAGUUCUUCUAUUCCAGAAAUGCGAUUUUCAGCCCCAGAAUUGCCAUUUUCAGUCCAAAAACGGGGAUUUUCAGUCCUAAAACGGAGUUCCUCAUCUUCCAAAAUGACAUUUUUUAAGCCCAAAAAUGCCAUUUUCAGCCCCCAGAUUGGAUUUUCUCGCCCCAAAAUGAGGCCUCAGAGCCCCCCAUAGCGGUGUUCUUCGCCCCUCCCCGCUCACCUCGUUAAUUGGCGCUAAUUAACGUUGGCUCAUUAACGACUUCGGGCGGCUCCAGAGUCGGUUUUGGUUCCUCC